AAACUGCGAUAAGUAGUGUGAAUUGCAUUUAGUGAAUCAUCGAAUCUUUGAACGCACCCUGCACUCACUGGUAUUCCGGUGAGUACGCCUGUUUCAGUAUCAUUGAAAACACACAAUCAAAACAUUUUCUUUGGUUUGAUUGGCUUUGGGUCUAUCAAAAAGUUUGGCUUGUUUCUUACAAGCCAAGCGGCCUGAAAUAUAUUGUCUGGCUAAUUGCAUCGUUGAUGAUCGCUAUUAGACUUUGGCUUUUUUAAAUGAACUGGAGGUUGAUUAACCAGUUUUAGCUUUAGUCAAAUGGUCAUUGUAAAAAAAAUCUCGAUCUUGGCUAGGUGUUUAUAGCCGAAAAUUUUUUUUUGGCUAUAACCGAAACCAAUAUAAUCACAUUUAGUUAUCGAUCUGAAAUCAGGUUGGACUACCCGCUGAACUUAAGC
rnacentral:misc_RNA from 1 species